CCAGGAGUCUGUGUUCUCCCUAUCAUCCACAGACAAAUGGCCUUGUUGAAAAAAUGAAUGGCACAAUUCAAAGAAGCCUGACAAAAAUGGCCGGUGAAAAGGCUUCUUCAUGGGACCUGCAUCUAAAUGCAACAUUGUUUGCACUCCGAACAAAAAAACAAAUGACCACAAAGUUUUCCCCGUACUACCUGAUGUUCGGAAGAGAGGCAAGAUAUCCAUGUGAAGUUACAAAUGAAUAUGAGGUCACUCAUGAAAAAGUGGAAGCCAUGGUUGCAAAUGAGCAAUGUGCACAAAACCUGGGUAAGCAGAGGGAGACCAUGGAAGCUGUGAAGGUAAAUAUAGCAAAAAGCCAUGACAAGGUCCGCAAAAGAAAACUGGAGAAGGGGCAUGUGGACAACUUUGCAUUUGGAGACAAGAUUCUGGCAAGGAAUGUGAGGCAAGAGAGCAGAAAAGGAGGGAAAAUGGAUCCAGAUAUGCUGGAUAUGCUGGAUAUUUAAACCUAAUGGGACUCCAUUUUUUCUUUAUAACUCUGUUUCUUUCUAUAGUGAUAAAUGAUAUAUGGGACGGCAAAAAACAAAGUGUUUUGUGGAGUAAAAUGGGCCCUUAUAAACUUUAUUCUAAAAACCUGAUGGGUCUUGCACCAGGCAAAAAACUGGAAACUGAGGUAAAAAAAACUUUUAAAAAACAUUUUAUGUGUUUAAGUUAUUGUACUGAUCCUAUAAAUCUGAUUCUUUGCUUUUGUGAGUAGGUUGUGAAUAAGUCUGGAGAAAGCAAGGCAUAUGUAAUUGAUUCCUUUCAAAUGAGCUCAAUCUGGAAAGGAAGCCAAAAAGGCUUAAAAAGGGUAAUUGUUAUUUUGUAAUGCAAACCCACAAGAAUCCUGAAUCUUAUUAGUACAACUUUAUUAUUAUUUUUUUUAGCUGGAUGCAUCAAGUUAUGAUGUUCUUUUUGGAGCAGUUUGUUCCAGCAACCAUUGGACAUUCAUAGUAAGUUUUUGUAGUUAUACCUCAUAAACAACAUGAAUAACUGCCAAUCAUAAUGUUCAAACAUAAUUUGCUAAUCAUCUUUAAUUUGAUGUUAUACUUUCUUAAGGCAAUGUAUCCAAAAAAAGAAAAGGCUUUAUAUAUUGACCCUUUUGGUGCCACACAUGCUGCAGUUAACCAUUGCAAGGAUGUGACGAGGCAAGUAUUAAAACUGUGUCAAGACUAAGCAAAUUAUAGCUACUGACACAGGUGGACUUUUGAUUUAAUAGGUCAUUCCUGAAGCUGAGAGGUCUGGACAUUUUAGAGUGGGGAUGCCACACAGUUGUGCAUCCUAUCCAACAAGACUCUACAUCCUGUGGUGCAUUUGUUUGCAAACUAGCAGAGGUCCUUCUCAUGGGGGACGAAUUUACAUUUUCUACAAAUGAAGGCAUUGUGUUGAUGCGCAGGGACAUUGCCAAAACGCUUUUGAGAGAAACAGAUGACCUUUCAGAACUGUGCCGCUCUUGUGGAGAGCAAGAUACAAACAAAGGACCAAUAGACCAAUGGAUUGAAUGCUCUGAAUGUGGAUGGUGGUACCAUUGGGACUGCGUUGGCAAACCCUCCACAGCUGGCAAAUACACCUGCCCAGCGUGCUGUUGAAGCAUGUUUAAUGUUUGUUAUUUGUCUUAUUUACUUUUGAUACUUGUUUCAUGUUUUUGUCUUAAAAUCUGCUUAU